rnacentral:rRNA from 1 species
CCCUUAGAUGUUCUGGGCCGCACGCGCGCUACACUGACUACUUCAACGAGUUGUUUCCUUGAUCGAAAGGUCUGGGUAAUCUUUGAAAGGUAGUCGUGAUGGGGAUAGAUCCUUGCAAUUUUUGAUCUUCAACGAGGAAUUCCUAGUAAACGCAAGUCAUCAGCUUGCAUUGAUUACGUCCCUGCCCUUUGUACACACCGCCCGUCGCACCUACCGAUUGAAGGGUCCGGUGAAUCUUUAGGACUGUGGCUGAGGCCUUGCCUUGUGCGGGUCUGGCCGUGGGAAUUUAGUUAAACCUUACCAUUUAGAGGAAGGUGAAGUCGUAACA